GUAGGUGAACCUGCGGAAGGAUCAUUAACACGUGAUACUCACGUAUUAACAACCCACCGAGAAAUAGUUAUUUAUUUACCCUAGUUUCAGAUACAGGCAGUCUUUGUGAGGAAAUGCUAUUGGUCGCGCUUCCGAAAGGUAUGAGUCUACACCAGGACUCACAAAGAUGUUCUAUGGUCCGCCCAGGAGUUUGCGCUGACGACUAGUUGACGAGUUACGACUGCUUAUUAAGCCUGUAGACAUAGCUUGC
rnacentral:misc_RNA from 1 species